rnacentral:tRNA from 1 species
GACCCCAUCGUCUAGCGGUCAGGACGCUUCCCUUUCACGGAGGAAACCGGGGUUCGAUUCCCCGUGGGGUCGCCA